rnacentral:rRNA from 1 species
UACGUAGGGUGCGAGCGUUAAUCGGAAUUACUGGGCGUAAAGUGUGCGCAGGCGGCCGCGCAAGUCGAGUGUGAAAGCCCCGAGCUUAACUUGGGAACUGCGCUCGAAGCUACGUGGCUGGAGUGUGGCAGAGGAAGGUGGAAUUCCAGGUGUAGCGGUGAAAUGCGUAGAGAUCUGGAGGAAGACCGGUGGCGAAGGCGGCCUGCUGGGCAGUUACUGACACUGAGGCGCGACAGCGUGGGGAGCAAACAGG